rnacentral:rRNA from 1 species
UACGUAGGGGGCGAGCGUUGUCCGGAUUUAUUGGGCGUAAAGAGCGUGUAGGCGGCCUGACAGGUCUGCUGUGAAAACUCGAGGCUCAACCUCGAGAUGUCGGCGGAAACCGUCUGGCUAGAGUCCGGAAGAGGAGAGUGGAAUUCCUGGUGUAGCGGUGAAAUGCGCAGAUAUCAGGAAGAACACCUAUGGCGAAGGCAGCUCUCUGGGACGGUACUGACGCUGGGACGCGAAAGCGUGGGGAGCGAACAGG